rnacentral:misc_RNA from 1 species
GGGCCAAAUGUGGCACCGUCUAAGAGCCAUUCUAAAUCUACUUUUAGUACUGGAUCAAGAUAUGGUGAUUCUGAACUGGAAAGCAUGCCCCAGAGAUUCAGGAACGAAGAAUUUCCUGAAACGUGGUAUAGUCAGUUUAUGGAAAAGCAUAAAGCUAGUAGACCAUACAGGUUGUCAUUUGGAGACAGAGAGUUGGACAAACGUUCACCUGAGGAAAUGUCUAAUUAUCUUGGACUUCUUGAUAAGCAUAAGAGAAGGCGUCUUGCAUUUACACCAAGUAUGCAUACCAGUUCUGUUUUAGAUGAUGAGGAUGUAACCUUUUUCCCUGAAACAAUGUUUAUGUCAAAUUGUGUACCUGAUAGUGCACUUCCGCUGAUAAUUCGAACUGAAAGCAAUGAAAAAAUUGAGUUUCAUGGAGUUCUUGAUGCAUUACCUCAGACCAGGAGUUCUGUUGUGAUAGAGAGGCUUGGUAUUAGUGUGGAACAAGGAGGAAGUUUACAUCGUCCGAAAAAUGGGUCUGAAGGAAAUAGGAAACUUCUUGGUCAACAGCAAGCAUCACAGAUGUGUCAGAAGGUAGUGGCCCGUAUUUUGGCACAGAAGGGGUUUGAAAGUGCAACAGAAGUUCCAGUGGAAGUCUUAUCUCGAUUGCUUAGGUGUCAUAUUAGUAAACUGGGCCGUAUUUUGAAAGUUUUUGCUGAUAGUUAUAGGAAACAAUGUUCGGCAAUUGACCUAAUUAAGAUGUUUCUUCAAACAGCAGGAUAUAGUAAUCUUGGCAAUUUGAUGGAGCUUAAGGAUGGGACUAAGAAUAUUGUGCAACAAACGCAACAACAAAUACACGGAAUGCAGUCACAUUUGCAGCCUCAGCACCAGAGCACGCUUCGGUUAC